rnacentral:rRNA from 1 species
GACGAACGCUGGCGGCGUGCUUAACACAUGCAAGUCGAACGGAAAGGCCCUGCUUUUGUGGGGUGCUCAAGUGGCGAACGGGUGAGUAACACGUGAGUAACCUGCCCUUGACUUUGGGAUAACUUCAGGAAACUGGGGCUAAUACCGGAUAGGAGCUCCUGCUGCAUGGUGGGGGUUGGAAAGUUUCGGCGGUUGGGGAUGGACUCGCGGCUUAUCAGCUUGUUGGUGGGGUAGUGGCUUACCAAGGCUUUGACGGGUAGCCGGCCUGAGAGGGUGACCGGCCGCAUUGGGACUGAGAUACGGCCCAGACUCCUACGGGAGGCAGCAGUGGGGAAUAUUGCACAAUGGGCGGAAGCCUGAUGCAGCAACGCCGCGUGCGGGAUGACGGCCUUCGGGUUGUAAACCGCUUUCGCCUGUGACGAAGCGUGAGUGACGGUAAUGGGUAAAGAAGCACCGGCUAACUACGUG